rnacentral:rRNA from 1 species
UACGUAGGGGGCAAGCGUUGUCCGGAUUUAUUGGGCGUAAAGAGCGUGUAGGCGGUUAGGUAGGUCCGUUGUGAAAACUCGAGGCUCAACCUCGAGACGCCGAUGGAAACCAUCUGACUAGAGUCCGGAAGAGGAGAGUGGAAUUCCUGGUGUAGCGGUGAAAUGCGCAGAUAUCAGGAAGAACACCCGUGGCUAAGGCGGCUCUCUAGUACGUGACUGACGCUGAGACGCGAAAGCGUGGGAGCGAACAGG